ensembl:lncRNA
UCACUCCCUUAUCCAGGUUUACAGUGAGAGAGGGAGUAACAACUGGAAAAGAAAGAUGGGAAGUGUGUAGCGAGGGAAGGAGCUUGACUGAGUUUACAGUUGUGGACAAGGUAAAUAGGAAAUAUAACAGCUGUUGUUGAAGACAUUAGCACUGUGUUGGUUUGAAUGAGAAUGUCCCCAUACUAUUGGACAUUUGAUCACUAGUUGGUGGCCCCCUAGAGAGGUUUACAAGGCGUGGCUUAGAUGAGGGAAGUACAUCAGUGGGGUGCAGGCUUUCAGAAUUCAGACUCAGCAGUUCCAAGUCUGUCCUCUGCUUCCUGCUUGCCAUUCAAGAUGUGAACCCUCAGAAUCCUGCUCCAGCUUCCCCGCCUGCCCCUUCUCCACGAUGAGGGACUCUUAUCCUUCUGGAACCAUAAGCCCCUGUAACCCUUUCUUCUAUACCUUGAUCACAGGGUUUUCUUACAGCAAUAGAAAAACAACGAAUGUAAGAACCAUUAAGGAGAGACCAUUCGCCUUGUACUGGGCCAAUAGGAGAAAUGCCCUGAUGUCAAGAAUAUCCACCAAAGGCUUUAACUUGUGGAAAUGUAAAUUCAUCUGAAUGGAGAGAACCUGAACGGAGAACAGCACCACAGAGGAUUCCUGCUAAAAAUCAGUUGCUCAGAGUGGUGCUUCCUAGGGUUAGCCCUUGGAGGCACACAGAGGCAGAUGCAGAUCAGGGGGCCAGGAUACAUCUCAAGCUGACAGCAGGACUUGGGAGCCUUAGCCACAGGAAACUGCUCUUUUUCUGCCAGGCUUGACAGAGGCAAGAUUGAGGGAGUCAUGGAGACUUGCACUAAGGUUCCUGACAACUGCUGGGGCCAGGGGUCCAACUCUGAAGGCCAUGCAGGUGACUGUAUCACCAGGAUUCGAGCCCCACACGGUCAACUUGGAGCACCACAUCUGCCUGCACCUCUUAGUCAGUCUGCAGAUGUCCCUGGACUAAAACCUGGGAGGAGGCUGUCAGGGGAUCGCUCAGAUCUCUGGAUAAUACCCUUGUGCACUUGGAAGCUUGGCUGAUAAUACUGCAUAUGGGUACAUGCUUGGGGCUUGGUUCCUUCGUAGCAGGUAAUGGCAGCGCUGUCCCUCUGUCAGUUAAAAAUCCUUAGUUGGAAAACACUUUGUUCCUUGUUAGGUUUUAAAAAUGUUUUUGUUUUUAACUUCUUCCUGGGUUAAUGGAUCCAAAUUAGGAGUUUAUAAUUUUUAAAUUACAUUAACUUAUUCAUUGUGUGUCUAAUGUACAUGACAGGAUAUGGAGGUCAGAGGACUUACGGGAGUCGGUUCUCUCCUUGCAUCGUGUGGAUCUGAGGUCAGACUCAGGCUGGCAGGUUCGGCUGCAAUCCCCUUUGACUUCAAGUAAUUCUGCUGGCCUGAAAUUGCAAUUUUUAAUAAAAAUUCCCCCUUAACAAAUGAUUAACCGGGAGAAUUUUUUUCUACUAGCCAUUUUCCCUUUGCCAUGUUAAUUAAAACAUGUACUUUGAGGUAGUAGAUUCCAGGAGAAGUUUGCCAUGUUCCUUCCUUUAUUGCAUGUAACUAACCCUUUUGUGCUUAACAAUUUUGCAUCUGGUGGAGAGUUAAGCCACCGUUAACUUCCUGUCUCUGACAUUCAGCUUGGUGCUUGGUGUUGCUUUGCUGUGUACGUCUUAGUCCCGGAUCCUCUGUGCCCUGGUUUGUACCCUGCGCCGUUUCUGUCCUCAGUGGAGGCUUUCUUCUUCCACAAUUUAAUUUUUCAAAAUGCAACUUUAGAUUGCAAAAUGCAGACCCCAACAAAACCUCUGUGUUUUGCUCACAGUGUGCUAGGUGGCAUCUCGUUUUCAGGGUGUGUUGUGUUGUGGUCUACCUGCUGAUGAAGCAUCUCUGUUGUUCUCGGUAAAUGAAAGGCAAACAUUUCCACCCAUUAGUGCUUGGAAGUAAAGAAGAGGAGCCUCUUGGGUGCUCAGCACAUCUCUGAUGAGAUAAGUGUGCAGUAGAUUUAUAGUUCAUUCGGCUUGGUCAAGAGACUCACAUGAGGGGGUUUUGUAUUUUCAAUUGUUUGGUGAUGAUUUCUUCAGUUUUUUUUUUUUAAAUUUGGCGCCACUCAAUAUAUGAAAUUUGACCUUGUACAGGGAAAAUUUCUGGAAAUCAGAUCUUUCUUUUAUUCCAAGUAGAAGGAACCUCUUUGCUAUCAAACACAGAAGACUAUAUUUAGACUGAUAUCAAUAAACAAAAAUUUCAGAUCAUCCAUAUGACUGCUGUCCGGAUCCUGCAAACUUCCAGCAAGCAUGAAAUAACUCAGAUGAGUUAUGAAAAAGCCUCUCCCCAAAGCAAAUGAACUAUUGCCAGAACACGAACAAAAAGAGGGUCUUAUGCUCGGCUUGUAUGUGAAGGGAAACGAAGGACAGCAAUUUGCAAUUUUGGAACAUUCUUUUUCCUGCAGCAGGAUUCAAAGCAAGCUGGACUCCUUCCAUCAGUCAUCAGUGCGUUGUUCAGGAAAACAGUCUGUCCUAAGGAACUGGAAUUGUCUUCCAGGCAACAAACAUAAACACUCCAGAAACGUGACUUCAUCAUCAAAGGCAAUCGUGAUAAAUUAGAAACACCGUACACUUUAAUAUUUAAGCUAUAACUUGCAUGGAAAAACCCAUACCUUUUAGUCCACAGUACUUCGGAGUUUUGACAAUUCAGAGCCAUGUGGUUAAAACCACAAUUAAGACACAGAUUAGAUCUGUUAGUUACAAGAUUCCCUUGUGCCCUUUCGAAGAUGGCUCCUCUCCCCAACUCCUGCCUGGCCACCACUGGUCCAUUUUCUGUGCCUGGUUUUUGUGUCAUCCAGGAUGUUGGAUGAGUGACAUCAUGGACACAGACAGCUUUUUUAUUUUUUUAAAGAUUUAUUUAUUUAUUUAUUAUGUAUACAGUGCUCUGUCUGCAUAUAUGCCUGCAGGCC